AUGGCGGAAUCUGCGGUGGCCUCGGUGGUGCGCGCGUUCGGUACGCUGGCCGCCGAAGAGGCCGCCUUCCUCCGCGGCGUCCACGCCGACGCCGACCUUCUCAGGGCCGAGCUCCGCCGCAUGCAGUGCUUCCUCCGCGACGCCGACGCCAGGCGCCGGGCCGGGGGCCGAGACGGCGCGCGCCUCACCAACUGGGUCGUGGACGUGCGCGCCGCGGCCUACGACGCGGAGAACGCGCUCGGGGAGGCCGACUACCUCGCGCGCCGCCGCCGCCUGCGGCUCGGGUUCUCGGGCGCCCUUGUGUGGUGCGCCGAUGUCGCCGCGCUUCACACGUUCGGCGUGAACAUCAGGCGCGUCCGGGCCAGGAUCCGUGAGAUCUCCGACGGCGCCGUGGCCUACGGGAUCGCCGACCUUUGGGAGGACACCGCCGUCCCAGCUGACCUCCAUGAGCAAGAGGAGGUGAUCCCUUAUGACCUCAGCUGGAACAGUGCAGAUAGUAAUUUGGUUGUUGGAUUUCAUGAGGAGAGGAAUAAUAUUUUCAGAGAGUUGAUGAAUCAUAAGAUUUGUCAUAUUUGUGUUGUCUCCAUAGUUGGGAUGGCUGGAUCUGGCAAAUCCACGCUUGCAAGGAAAAUUUACAACGACCCACGUGUUAAACAACAUUUUCAUUCCUGGAGUUGGAUUUCAGUGUCUGAGAAGUACAGCUUUCUUGAUCUGAUCAAGGAUAUUGCUAGGAGGAUCAUGGGUAUCACAAGGAAAAAUAUAGUUAAAGAGGAGAAGGGGGACCAGGACGGAGAGGGAACAAUCAGUGAUGGUGACACAAACAUUGCUGGCAGGUUGAAGGAGGUAGCCAUUGAGGAAUUGGAAAAUAUGGGCGAGGAGGAUGUCAAGGAACUUCUGCGUGAGUUCCUCGCUCAUAGAAGAUUUCUUGUAGUGUUGGAUGAUGUCUGGAAGAGUAAUUCUUACAGUAAGAUAAAUAGGAUCCUCGGUGUCUUGCCGGAUGUGAACAAUGGUAGUAGAAUCAUUUUGACCACCCGGGAUAUGGAUGUCCCAAAGCAUGUCGCUAGGAUGAAAAGCAUUCAUGAGAAGAAGCUUUUGAACGAGAGGGAGAGCUGGGAGUUGCUUGAGAAGAUGUCCUUUCCAGAGUAUCAAAAUGUAAGCAGUGCUAAUCGAUCACAGUUGAUGCCGAUAGGAAAGAAAUUGGCAGUGAAAUGCAAAGGGUUGCCGCUUGCUCUUGUGGUCUUGGGAGGUUAUCUUUCAAGGAACUUGGACUAUGACAUUUGGUCAGGAUUGGUUGAUAAUCUAGACUGGGAAGCUCGCAUGAAUGACGAGCCAGUCUGGAACAUCAUAGCUAAAAGUUACAAUGACCUUCCUAAUCACCAACUGAAAUCAUGCUUUCUUUAUGUAGCCUCCUUUCCAGAGGACCAUGUCAUCCGCGUAGCAAAACUUUGCAAGCUGAUGAUAUCUGAAGGAUUUAUUCCACAUCGGCUGAAUCGGACAAUGGAAGAUACAGCAAGAGAAUAUAUAAAGGAGUUGGCACAGAGAUGUAUGCUCCAAACUGUUGAAAGGAGCAAGUGGCAUGGCUCAAUAAAGAGUGUAGUUCUCCACGAUGUGCUUCGUGAAUGGGGUAUUGCAGAGGCAAGGAGGGAGGGAUUAUUCAAUAUUUGGAGUAAUCCGACCGAUUCUGAGGCACCCUCCGAUUCGAUAACGGCUUACCGAAUUGCUCUCCAUAACUUUGCUGGAUGUACUGAGAUUAAUGUAGCCAUGCCAAAGCUCCGCACCUUGUUAGUGUUUUUCAAGUUACCAGCAGUAUCACUACUGUGCAGGGUGAAAUGUCUCAGAGUACUGGAUCUUUAUGGCCUAAAAGAACUCAAGUCAAUACCAUCUGGCAUUGGCAACUUGAUACAUCUAAGAUAUUUAGGAUUAGAAAAAUGUGGCAGUGGAUCGGUUGGUAUUCCUUCCUCAGCUAGCGAUCUCUUGAACUUGCAAACUCUGGAUGCAAGAGGGUCAACAGUAAAAUCACUACCGCGGCUCUUUUGGAAUAUUCCAACCUUGAGGCACCUGUUUCUUAGCGAGGUCAAUCACUGGGUUCCUCCGGAGGUUAGAUGCCUUGGCUCGUUGCAGACUUUGUACUUGUGUGAAGUAUCUAUGUUUUGUGAUGUCAAGAGCUAUGUUUCACACAAGCAACGCAGCAGGGCUAGAAGUGCAAACUAUUCUAUUGCUCGCAGAAACGAGAAAAUAUGGGCUGCCUUCUUAAGAUCUUUGGAGCAAAUGGAGCAGGCCGUGCUCAUACACUUGGAGAGUUGGGAAGUUACUGGUAGAAGGCAACUGUUUGAGAGCAGAAUACGAGGGCAGGUCUUCUCUGCGCAACUCAUCAGUAGCAUUUCACGCCACAGGCAUCUUCAAGUGCUAGAACUGGCUGGAAGGUGGAAGCACGGGGAUAGCCAGCUAAGCAAGCUCCCUCAUGGCCUCAAAAAGCUCAAGCUGAUAGGUUCUGAACUGAGUGAAGACCCAAUGCCUGUGCUGGGCGUCCUUCCGAAUCUGGUGGUGCUUGUCUUGGAAGACAACGCUUUCAAAUGGAACAGCAUGACAUGCAAUGCGGGAGGAUUUCCUAGGCUGCGCCGCCUGACAAUUGACGGCAUAAAAAGUGUUGAGUCUUGGAAUGUUGAAGCUGGGGCAUUUCCUUCACUAACUCAUCUGAAUCUUAUAUCGAGCUUCACUGGGAUGUCCCUUCCUCCUCUAGGACUGUUGCAUGCGACUUCACUUCAGACGUUGCUGUUGAAACGGUCCUCUUGGGAUGGGAACACUAUUUCCUCCAGUAAUGUUAGCAAACUAGAGGAGAGGGUGUGCGAGGUCAUCAUCAGACAGAUGGAUUAA
rnacentral:rRNA from 1 species